rnacentral:rRNA from 1 species
GAUGAACGCUGGCGGCGUGCCUAAUACAUGCAAGUCGAGCGAACAGACGAGGAGCUUGCUCCUCUGACGUUAGCGGCGGACGGGUGAGUAACACGUGGAUAACCUACCUAUAAGACUGGGAUAACUUCGGGAAACCGGAGCUAAUACCGGAUAAUAUAUUGAACCGCAUGGUUCAAUAGUGAAAGACGGUUUUGCUGUCACUUAUAGAUGGAUCCGCGCCGCAUUAGCUAGUUGGUAAAGUAACGGCUUACCAAGGCGACGAUGCGUAGCCGGCCUGAGAGGGUGAUCGGCCACACUGGAACUGAGACACGGUCCAGACUCCUACGGGAGGCAGCAGUAGGGAAUCUUCCGCAAUGGGCGAAAGCCUGACGGAGCAACGCCGCGUGAGUGAUGAAGGUCUUCGGAUCGUAAAACUCUGUUAUUAGGGAAGAACAAAUGUGUAAGUAACUAUGCACGUCUUGACGGUACCUAAUCAGAAAGCCACGGCUAACUACGUG